rnacentral:ncRNA from 1 species
CUUAUCAAGAGUGGUGGAGGGAAUUGGCCCUAGGAAGCCCAGCAACCGGAUUACACGGUGCUAAAUCCAACAGUAAUAGACUGACAGAUAAGG